AAGUGUUUGUCUUUGUCGACUCCUUGCCGUCUGUACGCGUCUGCUGUCAACUGUGGCUGUUCUGUCAAUAAUUAAUCAAUAAUAAUCUUUGAUUCAAUACAAAUUACAAAUUGUAUUGUAAUAAAAUCGAAUUACUUUUCGAAUUUCGUCUUUCGUCGACCAAUUUAGAACGUAGUGAUUGAAUAAAUACGAAGUAUCCUUCUGUGUGAUAAAAACUAUCUCUAACCGUUUGCGACUUUGUGAUUUUAAACCGUUUAUUCUUUGGAUCAACAAAUCGCUUUAGUAGCAAAAUUGUAGAUAGUUUGGAAUCACAAUGUAUACCUUAAAAACUGAUGAUGCCGCUCAAUAUGCGAAGCCCUAUUGUGCCUGUUGGAGUGAUACGAAACCAAUGGAAGGUUCACCGGCAGAUCUCUGUGAUUGUGGGGAGGAUGACGACCUCAUUGAAUGGAAAUGGGAGCCGCCUGUGCGAGAAACUGAGAGGUGGUGCCAGCUGAGCCUGGACCGGAGCAAGAUCACCUUCCACCCCAUCUUCAGCUCGGGCACGGCGGCCGCGCGCAGCGACGCGCCGCUGCUCAUCGACCACCACUACUACUGGGAAGUAAAGAUGCUCACAAGAUGCUAUGGCACUGAUAUUAUGGUGGGAGUGGGCACGAAGAAAGUGAGCACGACAGACACGGAGUUCAAGUUCGUGUCUCUUCUGGGCCAAGACGGCGAGUCGUACGGGCUGUCGUACAAGGGCAAGGUGCGCCACGACGGGAAGUUCACGCCCGUGCCCGCCGGCUUCUGCAGCGGCAGCAUCGUGGGCGUGCGCGUCGACCUGUGGCACGGCACGCUCGCCUUCUACAUCAACAGGAAGCCGCAAGGCGUGUCGUUCUACAACCUGCGGCGGCACCCGGAGCUGUACGCUAUGCUGAGCAGCACGGCGGCGCAGUCGUCCAUGCGGCUCAUCUACGCCGCCUCGUGGCGCGCCUCGCUGCUGGUGGACGCCGCCAAGGUGCUGGCCGCGUCCUGGCGCGAGGGCAUGGAGCUGCCGCCCGGCCUGCGCAAGGCUCUCAGCUCGCAGUUCUGGCUCGGGCUGCCCGCCGACGUUGGUAGCGAUGACGAGGAUGAUGAUGAAAUAGAACCAGUCAAACCUAUGAAUGCCGAUACUUCGAAUUUGAAGCUGUCAUCCGGUAUGAAGAGGCGACAUUGCCACCGACUGACAAGUCCGUAGCAAUCCAGUCGCCAACGUCGGCCCUGUCUGGCCAACAAUUGAAUUUAAAUGUCCCAAUAUUAAAAGAACUGCCAUUAUGCAAUAAUUGUACAAUAUGAUCUCGGGGGGCAUGAAUGUAAUGCAGGAACAACAUUUGGCAUUUGCCGAAAAUUCUAAACCUCUACAAACGUUUGGCUUGAUUUUGGGAAACAAACAUCGUAAUCUUACCAAUGCGUUUGUGUAUUCUGAAGAACACGUGGCGCGGUGGAUUUAUUAAACGGAGGUCCUGGGUUCGAUCCCCGGCGGGGCAUAUUGAGAUUUUCUUAAUUAGUCCAGGUCUGGCUGGUGGGAGGCUUCGGCCGUGGCUAGUUACCACCCUACCGGCAAAGACGUACCGCCAAGCGAUUUAGCGUUUCGGUACGAUGCCGUGUAGAAACCGAAAGGAGUGUGGAUUUUCAUCCUCCUCCUAACAAGUUAGCCCGCUACCAUCUUAGACUGCAUCAUCACUUACUACAGGUGAGAUUGUAGUCAAGGGCUAACUCGUAAAGAAUAAAAAAAAAAAAAAACAAUCACACUUAUAUUAUAAAGUUUGUGUGUAAGUGUGUAUGUGUGUUCCUCCUUUGCGCUGCGGCUACUGAAGCCAUUUGGCUGAAAUUUGGAGUGGAAAUAGAUUUACUCUGGAUUAACACAUAGGCUAUAACUAGUACUACUAGUACUAGUAGUAGUAUGAAACGACAAUUUUUAACAAGUGUAAGAAAACGAAAAGACUGCUUCAUAGAUAUAUACUUAAUAGUUAAUAUUUUAUCUUCACUUGACUACUUUUUCACAUAAAACUAAUGGUACUUUGUUUGCUGUGGCGCAGAACGACAAACUCCUUUGAUAAGUGACUAAAGAUUGUUGAUACUGCCGUGUAAAUCUGGUAAACCAAGAGGAAGAAGAUACAAGUCCGACACUCGACAAGCGUUUUCAAACAGAGUCAAUCCACAUGGUUGAAAUUGUGAUGGACUUUCGUUUGUUGAGGAUUGGCAAGCGUGGGGGAUCCGGCUUGAAUUUCUGUUGUCUUGUUGUCCUAUAAGGUUAAGGGAUUCUGACGUCACAAUUUUCAUUAAAACCAAACACGUUGCCGUUGUACGUUUUACGUUGAAUUAUUGAAAAGUUAAGUCCAGAAAUUCGCGUAUUCCUUCCUAUCUUCCUAUAUUUCCUAUAUAAUUUAAAAAUUGUGCAAUUUUCUCUUAUAGUGCUUGCAAACAGUCAAUGUCGCUUUAUCCUAUGUCGCUUUAUCCUAUGUCGAUAUAUAUGUUUAUUUAACGUUAAGGUGCAUGCAUGCAGUCAAUGUCGCUAUAUCCGUUGUCAUUAUAUGUUGUCUUGAGCACACAGUCAAUGUCGCUUAAUCCGAUAUAGUUAUAAGAUGUCUUGAGCGUUUCUAUUGAGAUUAACGUUAGGGUGCCACACACACAGUCAAUGUUGCUUAAUCCGAUGUCGUUACUUGAUUGAGUGUUUAUUAUGUUGACAUAGUGCGGUGCCCGCACACAAUCAAUGUCGCUUUGUCCGAUGUCGUUAUAUGUUGUCUUGAGUGUUUAUAUUGAGAUUAACGUUAGGGUGCCCGGAUAUAGUCAAUAAAUGUGUUUAUAGUACUGUAGAGUUAGAGAUUCAGUCGUAAUAACCGAUCCGUCGUUGUGGACGCUGUUUUUUCCCGUUUUAAUGUAAGUCUGUUUAAAAUUUGAUCUUUUAAAUGUCAAGUGUAAUCAAUAUGAAAUAAAAAUGUAUUAAGUUUAGCUUGAUCAGAAAAAUAAAAAACCUCGGCUUUCGGAUAGUAGGAACGAAUUUCUUUUACUAGCAUUCUAUACACAGACUGCUAAAGAGCUAAAGAGCUAAAGAGGCGCCGUGAUCUAGGUUUUUUAAUUUUCUGGUCUGGGUUUAAACUACAAUUAAUGUAAAAGUUUUGAAUGUUUAGAUGUCAGUUAUUUUUCUUCAUACGAAUAAUAUUGAACAGAAUUUGAUGUUUAAACGUCGCCUUGCGUCGUAUCUAGGAUCAUCUAGGUGUUCUAGUUGUUACAUCUCUAUAUAACUUUAUGAUAAUGUCUGUCUGCUAAUCUUCACAACAACAGAUUUUCUUUAAUCUUUACAUAUAGGUAGAAUAAGCUCAAUAUUUGUAUAGAUUUACUUUGUUUACUAGUGAUUUAGGAAAUAAAAAAUAAAUUUACGCGGAGGGGCGUUCAUUGAUUUAAAAAAAAAACAAUUUUUCUUUGUAUGUUUCCUAUUUAUGCAUUCCUAAACUGAUCGUGAUAUAGUUUUGGUAAAUUGAUAGGUGCAAGUAUUGUGUGUCCAAUUUAAGGUAGUGCGGGCAGGUGUCAAUUUGACGUAACUUUGAGUUUGACAAAGCAUAUAUUGAUUUGUAUAUACUAAUUAACAAUGCUCCGGCCCUAGUAUUAAGUAUGGAUUCAGAUCCGUAUAAUGUUUUGAAAUGGAAAUGCCCACCGGCCAAUACAACAUUUGCGUCGUAUAAAAGUAUAUCGAGAUGAUAAUAUGAUUUUUGUUAUAGUUUGUAAUUUUGUUUGUAUUAUUCUAAUGUAUGUAUAGCCUGGGAAGACGAAUUGGGCAACUGUAAUGUCUUCCCGGGUAUUGAUUAAGUAAAUAAAUAAACAAAUAAAUAAUAAAUAAAAUAAAUAAAUGAUGUAUAAAUAAGGAACUGGUAAUUAAUUGGCUCAAUAAAUGUAUGUUUCUUGAAAACAAAAACAUUUUUAGCACUCUUCUUGUUUAAACAGUUCGCCGUUUUACUUACUAAAGCGGCGAAGUAACAUUUGAAGCUGUAUUUUUUUUUCUGUAACCAAUAAGCUUAAGAAACAAGAAAACGAACAAACAAACCAACCAUAACUUCAAACGAUCUUUACUUGUCUAUUAAAGAUGAAUUAAAAAUGUCCUGAAACGUUGUAGCAAACUUUUUUCUGAUAUUAUUAGUAAAAUAGAAUUAUCUAGAUUUUUUUUAAAUACAAGUAGUUAGCCGGUUGGUUAGGGUAAGCCAGGGCCGGGGAUAGGUAUUUCCAUUUGAUACAGAAGUAAUUUUAUUAUCACAUUUUGUUCUUUAUGUAUCAUUUAUAAGUAUGUAUGUGGUAGCAUGAUGCCAUUAAUAAUAUUAUGUUGAAUUAUUAAUUCGUUAUACUUGAUAAGUGUAAUCUAUUAUGAAAUGUGAGAUUAAAAUUGUUAUAAAUGUCUGUGAUAUAAGCUAUUGUUUUUCUUUAAUUUUUCAUCUUUUACAUAGUUAAAAAGGAAGAUAUAUAUAUUUUUUAUUGUAAAAAUAUAAAAAUUAUGGUUCUAGCUGUUGUAAUCUACCGACUAAAUCCGGAAUCUAGGAGUGUACACUAAACUUUACACAGUGAUAAGAAAUAUAAUCCUUUCCUAACAAGCCUAAGUGAAACGUAAACACAUUUUAAAAUAGUUUCCGAUACGUUAUGAGAUUAGUCAGUUCAAACAAACAUUUUCUCCAGGUUCAUCUAUAUCAUAAAUAUUAUUUUACUUAUGAAGUUUAAAUACGUAAUAGGUUUAAAUAGAUUUAGGCUUUUAUUUAUGAUUUUUUUAAAUAUCUAACGGUAUCUAAGUAUAUAAAUAUUUUUGAAUAAAAUGGUUAACUUCCCUUUAUGUAUAUCUCAAAGUACAGCUUGAUCAGAAAAUAAAAGAACCGCGAUAUGUUGCAAUAUGUUGCAAUCACAGAACAAAGAAUGAUACAGAAUGACUAUACAAGCAGCGUCAACAAACGUCACGCGUUUCCUUGACAUCCGCAUAUAUAGAAACUUUUUACAUAAUUUGUAUUUCAAAAUUUAACACUAACAACAAAUUACGUAAAUUAAUAUCGUGAUAGACUAAUAAUAAUAAUCAAUAAAAAUUACUCCAUCUUAUUUCUUUAGUUUUUGUGAACAGUUUUUAAAAUAUUAAAAAACAUAAGACGCUAUUUUAUUUGAUUAAUAUUGAAAAUUACUGGUGCUACGCUUCGUGUCGAGACUCGAGAAUGCAUUCAUUUUUGAAUUUGUAUUUAGAAUUGCCGCAUCCCUGCCGUGUUCCGUACGCUCUAUCUGCCUAUUAUUCUUUAAUCUGUGGUUGCAAUAAAGAAACUAUAGUGAUGCACCAGACAAGGAACUUUAUAUUUCUGGUCAGGCUUUAAUUGAUGAAAUAUACAACAGUAUGGAAUUACUUAUUUUUAUGGAUUUAGUAUAAGUGGAUCGGUGUGCAUUUAAAUAAUUACAUGUAUCUAUUUAAUUUUUUUUA